rnacentral:rRNA from 1 species
CCCUUAGAUGUUCUGGGCCGCACGCGUGCUACACUGAGUGGAUCAGCGGGUCAGGUUGCGCGAAAGCGUUUCCUAAUCUUUAAAUCCGCUCGUGAUGGGGAUUGACGGUUGCAAUUUUCUGUCAUGAACGAGGAAUACCUUGUAAGCGCGGGUCAUCAUCCCGCGCUGAAUACGUCCCUGCCCUUUGUACACACCGCCCGUCGCUACUACCGAUUGAAUGGCUUAGUGAGCCUUUGGGAUUGGCAGCCAACACCGGCAACGGUAGCUGGCCGCCGAAAACUUAUGCAAACUUGGUCAUUUAGAGGAAGUAAAAGUCGUAACA